AACAAAGAUUUUUUUUUUGUGUUUCAUUUUCAACCCCCAAUCUUAAAAAAAAAAAAAACUUUCAUGCUCUCUUCCCCUCCCCCUUUUUCUUUCUGUCGAUUGGGUUCCUUAGAGACCCGCCCUACCGCCAACGACGACGGCGGUGACCGCCGUGUACAGCGAAGGAGCGCAACCUAGGGUAUGGGGGUGACUGGUGGAGCAGGUGAUGGUGGCUGGUGUCAGAGGAAAGUGGGGAGGUGACUAGGGUUUUUUUCUUUGCUGGAAAAUGUUUAGUAGGUUAGUUUAGGUGGGCUGUUGGUUUAGAUUAGGUUUAAUAAUGUUGAGCUGAUGAAAUUGCGGUGAAUAUUUGAUUAUAUUUGGGUCAAAAUUAGCCUACAACAAUAGUCUCUUUAAUUCCUGGAGUUCUACUCCAUUAAAGACGACAUUUAACGUCUUGGAGUUGAAGUUGCCUACCUUAUCUUAAUAAUUUAGGUAGUCUAUGGCUUGGAUGUCCUUACACCGUCAACUUCAAUUGCCGGUGGAUCUCAACUAGUAAGCACUGUCCUCCAUGUCUUCUUAUCGAGGAAACUAAUAAAUGUAAUCAUGUGUGUUUUUUAAAA